UACAGAGGGGGCGAGCGUUAUUCGGAAUUAUUGGGCGUAAAGGGCGCGUAGGCGGCUUUGCAAGUGACGGGUGAAAUCCCUCGGCUUAACCGAGGAACUGCCUGUCAAACUGCAUGGCUUGAGACCGGGAGAGGUGAGUGGAAUUCCCAGUGUAGCGGUGAAAUGCUUAGAUAUUGGGAGGAACACCAGUGGCGAAGGCGGCUCACUGGACCGGUACUGACGCUGAGGCCCGAAAGCGUGGGUAGCAAACAGG
rnacentral:rRNA from 1 species